GACGAACGCUGGCGGCGUGCUUAACACAUGCAAGUCGAACGGAAAGGCCCUGCUUUUGGGGGGUGCUCGAGGGGCAAACGGGGGAGUAACACGGGGGUAACCUGCCCUUGCCUUUGGGAUAACUUCGGGAAACUGGGGCUAAUACCGGAUAGGAGCUCCUGCGGCAGGGGGGGGGUGGGAAAGUUUCGGCGGUUGGGGUGGGACUCGCGGCUUUUCAGCUUGUUGGUGGGGUAGUGGCUUACCAAGGCUUUGACGGGUAGCCGGCCUGAGAGGGUGACCGGCCACAUUGGGACUGAGAUACGGCCCAGACUCCUACGGGAGGCAGCAGUGGGGAAUAUUGCACAAUGGGCGGAAGCCUGAUGCAGCAACGCCGCGUGCGGGAUGACGGCCUUCGGGUUGUAAACCGCUUUCGCCUGUGACGAAGCGUGAGUGACGGUAAUGGGUAAAGAAGCACCGGCUAACUACGUG
rnacentral:rRNA from 1 species